rnacentral:tRNA from 1 species
CGUAGUGUAGCGGUUAUCACGUCGCCCUGUCACGGCGAAGAUCGCGGGUUCGAUUCCCGUCG